AAUUUAGUGUUGCCAAUCAACUUAUCCCCAGGUGCAUGUCACCUUUUGUUUUCAUAAAGUACUUGAUUUUAUCACAUUAUUUGAGCUGAAAAUAUUUUAUUGUCAUGGCAGAGAGACUGUACUUAACCGGACGUGACGUCACAAGAAACUACGCCACAAGAUGGCAGAAAUGUGACAUGAAGUAUGUCUGGCUGCCGUAAAACCUUAGUCGAAGUGGGGGGGAAAAGGCACCUCAAUAAAAGGGCUGUUCGAAAGAACGAUAGCGUCGUACGAGGAGGAACUUGAACGAACGAUAGCAUCAUACGAGCAGGAACUUGACAAAACAAUAGCGACCUACGAGGAGGAACUUUCUCGCGCAGGAGAGGAGAACAAACGGAAACUCCAACAACUGGAAGCUGUUUACAAGACGCAACACGUUGCAGAACCGUGCAGCCCCAGUGAAGAGGAACCACACCCUCAGCCGCAGGGGGGAAGCCCUACCUUGGAGCAGAAAGAUCCACAGCCCCGCCAUAUCAAAGAGGAACAGGAGGACGUUUGGCCCACUCUGGAAGGACAGUGUCUUCUUACGGGUGUCUCCGUAAAGACUGAAGACGAAACACAAGCAGACAGCUUCUUAGCUCCACUAUCGGACAGUGACGACACAACAUCACACUCUCCUGAGGCUGAAGACCAGGACAACGCCCAAGAACCUUUGAGCAGCGAUAUAGACUUUGAAGGUGAAAUGAGGACUCACACAGACAUAAAACACUCCGAAUUCUCUGAAAAAAAGACACAGAGGAAAUGUUUAAUCUGCUCAAUUUGUGCUAAAAGCUUUCCUUACGAGAGCCAUUUGACUCUACACAUGCGGACACACACUAGAGAAAAACCCUACAGUUGCUCAGUUUGCAGUAAAGGAUUCUCUCAAAAGGGAAAUAUGGUAGCACACAUGACAACGCAUACAGAAGACAAACCUUUUAGUUGCUUAGUUUGUGAUGAAAAAUUCUCUCGAAAGUCAUAUAUGGUAUUACACAUGAGAACUCACACUGGAGAAAAACCUUUUAGUUGUUCAGUUUGUGGUCAAAGAAUAUCAAGAAAGUCAAAUAUUCUGUCACAUAUGAGAACGCACACAGGUGAAAAACCAUUUGGUUGUUCUUACUGUGAUAGAAGAUUCUCUCAUAAGAUAUCAGUGGUAAAACACAUGAAAUCACACAUUAGAAAAAAAGUUUGAUGUCUACGUUUUUGGUGAAAGUUAUUCUUGUUUGACAGCAUACAUCUCACGACAGAAUAAUCAUUUUCCUGGCUAGUGCUGAAAUCAUAAAACUGUAAUGUCACAAUACCGUAAAUUCCGGACUAUAAGCCACUACUUUUUUCCUACACUUUGAACCCUUGGCUGAUAAAACAGUGCGGCUAAUUCAUGGAUUUAUCUUUGCUGACGGCCAUGUAAAUAGUUAAAAAAAAAUACCAAGCAAACACACUGAAAAAGUGUGUUAUUGUUUGUGCUAUGGUGCUAUCCUUUGGGUGAGCUCGCUCACUGCAGGUGCUUUCAUCCGGAAGUAGAAUUGCCGUUCUCUCUUCAAGUCGUCCGUAGCAUUUCUACUCGUAUGGAUUCUUCAUUCAUCACUCCAAGCAACGUUUUACAAUAUAACUAAAACUGUUUAUACUUACUAAACCGUCCCAUGUGUGAAGUCUAGGAGGGUUUUCAUGCAUAUUUGUAUUGGCAACACUAAAUUGUACCUAGUGUGUGAAUGUUGUCUGUCUAUCUGUGUUGGCCCUGCGAUGACGUGUCGACUUGUCCAGGGUGUACUCCGCCUUCUGCCCGAAUGCGGCUAAUAUAGGCUCCAGCACGCCCCGCGACCUCGAAAGGUCAGCGGUUGAAAAUGGAUGGAUAUGUGGGUUAAUUCAAUAGGAAUAAUUUUUAAUAAUGUAUUUUAUUAUCAUUUCAUGGACACAGUGUUGUGUCCAUGAAAGAUUACAUAACACAUUAUGACAGAAACUUUGUAAAGACAAGCAUAAAAAUAAAACGUGGAUGGUUUGACUGUUCUUUCAGAUCAAAGUUGUCUGGUUUUAAAUGAUGACACAAAGUCUCUCCUCCCAAGUGCUGCUGCUCAUGUGUGCCUCCUCCAUCGUGUACAAACACAAACAAAUCCAUCUGAACAAGUCUCUGUUCUCUAUAUUUAUGUAGCUCCAUCUCAGGUACACUGCAAAUUAUUUGCCACAAGAUUUAAAAAAAAAAAAAAAAGGUUUGAGGAAUGCUCCUAUAUUUUUUAAAAGCUAUGUACUUACUUU